ensembl:lncRNA
AUGCCUCAUAAAGAUCUCAGUCUGGGAUCUCAAAAACCUUUACAGCUGCUUGGUAGCUGUAUAGAAAUUAUUACUUGGAGGAAAUAUACUUAAUCGUAAAGCACAGAAGAGCAUACAAACUAAUGAAGUACACAUUGACUUCUGUACUAUAAUGGCACUCGGAUGGCAAUGCUGUGAUGCUCUCCCCAGGUCCCACUGGGCAGGGUACCCAUGUGGCUGCAGACAUGGGGAGGCACAGUGAGCACAGGGCAUUGCUUGGGCGCAGCUACACCUUAAGUACGCCUUGCUAAAAACAGUGCAGAUGAAGACUCUGAGGGUUCUUUGUCCUACUUACCUUUUUGGCAAGCAAAAGCUUAACUUUCUUGAAUGAUAUCAUAAGUCUGGGCUGAUUUACAAGGAGAUUUUUCAGAAGGCUGUGAAUUCUGGUGGUUUUAUUGCGGGACACAAACCAGGUCUCAGAGAUUACAAGUGGAAGAAUCUAACAAGACAUGUUUUUCUGUUAUUGACUUCGUCAAGAGAAUGCAUUUGUUUUAUGAUAUUUUCCAUUCCUUUUCCCAUCUUCGUCACAGGAAUGGAUUGAAUAUUUCAUCUUCAGUAGAUUGUCUCACAGUGUGUUUUUACAAUUUCCUUCAGCACUCCCAGUUCUAACUGGACGUUACCUCUCUUUCUCCACAGCUGGGUGAUGUUGUAAAUGGGGAAGCUGGAGCAUUCCUGAAAGGCAAAACCUGAAAUGGGGAAUGAAAACAAUCUCUUCUAAUGGCAAAUAUAGCGACAUCACCUUAAUCUUCAGCAAGAGAUUUGUGACCAGUUUUCAAGGUUGCUUCUGUGUUUCUGGCCGUGUGCAGCCUGGUGAUCCUUGAAAGCCCUCCAGUUCAGACUUACUCUUCUUAAAGUGACCUGGGAGCUUCAGUCUGAGAUGUUGCAUAUCGUUUCACAUUUGAUCUGUUUUCUCUAGAGCCCAGUGAAUUAGAGGACGUUAGUUCUGUCACUCAGGGGCACAGCUGAAAAUGCUACCAACUGCUGCUGGGAUUGUAGAACAGGGCUGCUGAAGUUUUGACAUUUACAAGCUCAAAAUGAUCUACACUUUUAACAGAAGUUUUUAACAGUGUAAAAAGCGUUUGGCAGCGGUAUACAAUCUAACCUCUGCCCCUUAACGUUAUUACCUUCCAGGAGCUGCCAGUCCUAAAUGAUUAUACAAUAAAUCAUAACACGCUGAGACAACGGUGAUCAUCGGGGCCAUAUGAGAAGUCCAACUCCUUGCCUGUUCUUGUAUUCCCUGGAAAUAGUUUGCUCUUUUAGAAUGGUUUGCCAUCAAGGGCAGUUGGAUGAGAGGUCUUGUGUUAUUCCUAGCAAAGUAUUUUUUUUCUUUUUUUUUACCCCUUGUUCAAGAUGAUUUGGUUUUGUUUCUUUUCUUGCUGCUGUUGGAGUUUGGUUUUGGGUUGGACUGUGGGUGUUCAUAUUUCCAUAUUAUUGGGAGGAGUGUAACCUUGAAUUACCUUAUCUGAAGUAGAUAGCACAGUUAUGGAUGGCUUGUACUAAAAGACACAAAAUAUUAUAAAUUCAGAAACAUACUUCACACUUACAUGAAUCAAUUAUCCAUACUAAUAAAGUUGUACGUCUGAUAACUUUCCUGUAAUACGAGCACUUGGUUACUGCCUCCAGGAGAAAUAUACUGGAGUUUCUGCUUAUGUAUGAUUUUGUGGAUGGGCAGUCAAAAAUACAGUACUGUGUGACAGUGAACGUUCCUUUAGGCCCUAGGAUGUUAGGCUGCUUGUAGUUGUUCAUAGGAAGGUAUUUAUCUGUAUCAGAUGUAAAAAUUAUAGAUAAUCUUUGCUGGUUUUGUUGAAGGUAUCCAAAAUAUGGCUUUAUUUCUCCACGUGUUGAAUCUUGCACAUUCUUAAGGAAGUGCCUGUAUUACAGGUGCUGUCUCUGAAGCUGUAUGUGGGUAGUGAAGUAUGUGGGUAGGUGGCAGGUGAAAAAAACGUGCAUUCAAAUAAUUUUACAAGGCCCUUUUUCUGCACCGGUGUUGCUAAGUUUGUAUGUUGAAGUACUCUUCAUUGAAGCACUGAAUGUUUAAUAUCAAAUAAACUACCAAACUUCCACCUGUGGGAGGUGAUAUAAUCCCAGCUGCUAAAAUAGUUUACCAUUUCUUAAAACAGAGUUUUGGCUGCCAGAAACCUGUUUGAAAAAGGUUUUUUAAUACUGAUUUACAUUAUGCUAAUGCGCAGAGUCUCCGGUCUUUGGAAUAGGAAUAUUGUUUGGUUUUCCUACUUUUCUUCUAUAGUUAGAUCUUAAGGCUAAUGAAAGCCUUAAUGUUAAAGGCGAGAUUUUAAAUUCUACUACUGUAGUGUAUUUUUAUGGAGCGUAAAGUGAAGAGCAAUGCAUGUGCUACUAACACCAUAGCACUGGCUCUGGGAGGCAUCCUGCACUGCAGUCCUGGAUGGCAGCUAAAAACACACUGCUGGGCUGGGUGAGGGAAAAAGCUCUUCUCUUCAUUCUGCUCAAAAAUAACAGUUCAGUGCAUGGGAAAGAUGUGAAGAUGGCAAUGAUAAUGUUAAGACAACAGUGACAACUGACAAGGUCUUUGAUGAGCAGGCAAUUGUUAAAAUAAUGUUCUUUCAACAGAAAGUCGGUAUUUCAUGAAAGGUAAUUCCUUAGUGGGUAAAAUCAUGCUUAGUGCAUUUGUUGGUAUGCCCACAGAUCUGGCUCAAUUGCUUUGCGUCCCUUUGAAGUGCAAUGGAAUAACUUUCCCCCUGCCCCUUCCAACCUCCUAAUACCAUCUCCCCACCCCCCAAAAAAGAAAAACAGGCAGAAGAAAAUUAGAACAAUUAUUUGACUUCUUUUGCACGAUGAUGCACCUUCAGUAGACCUACAGAGACUGUGUGGUUUGGUCUGUUGUCUAUAGUGGUACUGUAAAGGAUUCUAAGCUGAACAUGGGAUAAUCAGAAUUUCUCUAAACAGAGAGGCUUCAACUGUUUUACAUCAUGAUGAGUGAUUAAUUCCUACACUGCUCUGUAGUUUAGCAAGGGUGGGACCAAGGCUUGAAAAUUGCCCUGGAUUCUGCACCUUAUUUUUAGACAGAUUUCCUGCCUACCAGUCAUCUGGUCAUCUUAACUCUUUUUCAUUUGACCAAAGCUAAAACUGAGUUAUAUGAUAGAAGUAUUCCAUUUUGUAUACAGAAAACGUAAUGGAGAUGGAGAUGUUUUAAAAUACAUUGUUUUACUUGCAGUGCACAGCUUUUCUAAUAUAAACCACCCAAGGGGUGCUGAAAGACUUACUAGUACAUAUUUCUGUAAGAUCACUAUUUCACCGAGGAGAGCAAAGAUCAUUUUUCGAGCAAAUAUCAGCAAAAUAUCUAGCAAAUAUCAGCAGAACUUUCAUUUGAUUGAUGCAAUAUUUGAAUCUUGUGUAUUUUUUCCCAUCUGAUAUUAGAUAGCAAAACGGGGCUUAUAGGUUAGAACAGUACCAGCUGUUUUGCGUUAGCAAAGCCGACUAAGGAAAAAAAGAAUAACAUGUUGAUAUAUAUAUAUAUGUGUAUAUAUUUGUUGUUGUUGUUGUUACAAUAGCCUGGUUAAAAUGAACUUUCUGAAAAAUAUAAAAACAUAUGAAUGAUGUCCAGGUGGCAGAAAAAACUGUGUAAAAUACUUCAUAAAACUUCGUAGAUUUUAAAAACACAUUCAAACUAAAGCAUGCCAGAAAACUGUGCUUAUAGAAAACAUACAUAUCACGCUACAUUUGAAGAAAGAAAUAUUUCAGUAGGACAAAAAAAUGUAUAUCGGAAAUGCUACCUAUCUGCAAAACGGUGGGUUAAAUGAAAGAAAUGUAACGCCGAUGGUAUUUUAUCCAUUUGGCCCCACUUUUCCUGCUGCAAUUGAUUUGGUUUGGGUACUUAGUACCCAGUUCGGCUAUCCAUGGAGCUCAAGUAGAAAUGUCGGAGGAGUAGCUGGCUAUCCAGCGGGCUUUCACGUGAUGGAUGUUGCCAAGGAAACCACUCCCUUGGUAGCCAUGCAGCGAGCACGUCCGCCUCUUCAAGCUUGCACAGAAGUGUCAGUCUAUCAGUUGGAGGAAGGAAAGCAAAACAGCUGUAGAGAAAACUUAGUAGGAAGAACUCGUUUAAAUGGCUGGGUGCCAUAGAUGUAGAAGUUAGGAGGUUCUUCUUGAGGGUCCCCGCAAAGGGACAACGGUAUGUGUUGGGAAGGGCUCUCUCAGCAGCACGCUAAUGGCUUUGGAUGGAGUUACUCUGAUGUUCUCCUCCAUGGACACAGAUUUCAAUCACACGUACGUGAUUCAGGCUCCAAAGCAAAGUGGAAAUCACAAGGCUGUGGCUGUUUCAAGAGCUACCCAAACACUUACUCUUUUGAAGGGCAAUAACCCCACACUCAGUACAAGCAGACUUCCAAAGUGCAGGUGUCCCUUAAAAUGCGUUUUAGCGGAUGAUACGACCUUAUCCAUAAAGUUUGGGAAAGGGUUUUUUUUCCAUCACAAUGCACAUUAGAACCAAUGUGUUGCCAGUGAUCUCUUGAGGUCCCUUCCAGCCCCUGCAAUUCUGUUUGUGUGAGAACUCUCAGAAAGAAACUGAAAGUGCUACGUUUGGGGCUACCAGACAUAUUUGAACUUGCUUCUGAUCUAGCAGUUGUGCCACUGGUUUCAAAUGCCCAUCGGGUGUCCUUCACGAGGGGUGAAAUGUCACAAGAGUUAGCAUUAUUUAAACCUAAGGAGUUUUGAAGCUGAGAUCGGUUACUUGGUUAAGUACUUUAGUAGCAGUUUCCAUUAAGCAUAUAAACAGAGAUGAAUUUAUCACUCGUGAGCACAUUUCAUCCUCUCUGAAAGCAUCUGCCUAGCAGCUGGUCUGAGGCCAAGUUCUUAGUUCUCCAGUAUCAAAGGAGCUGUUAAUAUUUCAUAUUUUGUACAGUUGACUCAAAUGAUUCAUAUCUUAUGUUUUUUGUCUUGUAUGGAUCACUAGAUGCCUGCUUGUUGCAAAUUACCUAGAGAGCAGGUCAGAAGCAGUAAUAGAGCUCUCGUGUCAGACUCAAAGCUUUAUUUUUGACCUGAUUAUCUCACCAAACUCCUCACUGGAAGGCUUCCUGUGCCCAUGUAUCAAACCUUCUUGCUCUAGAAAUCCUCACAAAAGGCAAAAAAAAAAAAAAAGAGAUCCACUAAGCACUUCACUGCCAAGGUCCUAUGAGAGGUGGUGAUUUAGGAUUACGAGGGUUCUUGGGAUAGUAAUUAGGAGACCAAAAUGGUUUUCCAUAAGUUGUUUCUCUUUCUUCACGUGCUUUCAUUUAUUCACUUGCACAUAAUGCAUGUAGAAGAUAGGAAAAUGAUUCAUGUGUCUGUGCUGUACUGGAGUUACUUAAGGUAAGUAAUUGAAGAAUAUUAACUUCCUUAUUUUGGUUUAAUUCUAGUUUUGAUAGCUAAGCUGCACUCUUAAAAAUCCCUUGGCAAUUCCAAAUGAUUCAUCUGUCUCUUCCUUCUCAGUACCUUCCUACUUGUCAUUGUUAUGUAUAGGAAACUGUAGCUCAUUCUCCCAUGAGGGGCUGAAAAUGAUUCCUGUAAGCCAUGUACUUAGCAAAUCCAUCUGUAAAAUGCAUUUGAAGAGCUCAUGAAUAUGUUGAGGGUACCCUACAAAUGGAAGGUUAUUCAUUUAGUGAGAGUUUAGUUACACAUUUUCUUUAGAUGUCCUUCCUUGGAAAUUAACCAGUACAGUAUGAAAGGAAAAAAGUCUGAAUUGGUGUCUGUUACUUUGAUAUAUUCAUAGAAAUACUGAUAAUUGUGUGGAUUAGCAUGAUAUUCUCACGGUAUGCCAUUUCUUGAAUGAUGCUAAUAUUCUCAUGAAUGAUGUUCAGUGCACAUAGGAGGACCCCAACAGU